AUUGAACGCUGGCGGCAGGCCUAACACAUGCAAGUCGAACGAGUGGCGGACGGGGGAGUAAUGUCUGGGAAACUGCAUGAUGGAGGGGGAUAACUACUGGAAACGGUAGCUAAUACCGCAUACCAUCAGAUGUGCCCAGAUGGGAUUCGCUAGUUGGGUGGGUAACGGCCCACCAAGGCGACGAUCCCUAGCUGGUCUGAGAGGAUGACCAGCCACACUGGAACUGUGACACGGUCCAGACUCGUACGGGAGGCAGCAGUGGGGAAUAUUGCACAAUGGGCGCAAGCCUGAUGCAGCCAUGCCGCGUGUGUGAAGAAGGCCUUCGGGUUGUAAAGUACUUUCAGCGGGGAGGCGUUACCAGCAGAAGAAGCACCGGCUAACUCCGUGCCAGCAGCCGCGGUAAUAC
rnacentral:rRNA from 1 species